GAUAAGAACGUAGCGAAAUGCGAUAAGUAAUGUGAAUUGCAGAAUUCAGUGAAUCAUCGAAUCUUUGAACGCACAUUGCGCCCCUUGGUAUUCCGAGGGGCAUGCCUGUUCGAGCGUCAUUACACCACUCAAGCACUGCUUGGUAUUGGGCAUCGUCCGUCGAAAGGCGGGCGUGCCUCGAAGACCUCGGCGGGGUUUCUCCAACUUCGGGCGUAGUAGAGUUAAAUCGAACGUCUUAUAAGCUUGGUGGGACUCCAUUGCCGUUAAACCUUUUAUUUUCUAGGUUGACCUCGGAUCAGGUAGGGAUACCCGCUGAACUUAAGCAUAUCAAUAAGCGGAGGA
rnacentral:misc_RNA from 1 species